rnacentral:rRNA from 1 species
UACGUAGGGUCCGAGCGUGUCCGGAAUUAUUGGGCGUAAAGGGCUCGUAGGCGGUUUGUCACGUCGGGAGUGAAAACUCAGGGCUCAACCCUGAGCGUGCUUUCGAUACGGGCAGACUAGAGGUAUGCAGGGGAGAACGGAAUUCCUGGGUGUAGCGGUGGAAUGCGCAGAUAUCAGGAGGAACACCGAUGGCGAAGGCGGGUCUCUGGGCCGAAACUGGACGCUGAGGAGCGAAAGCGUGGGGAGCGAACAGG